rnacentral:rRNA from 1 species
UACGUAGGGGGCGAGCGUUGUCCGGAAUUACUGGGCGUAAAGAGCUCGUAGGUGGUUUGUCGCGUUGUUCGUGAAAACUCACAACUCAAUUGUGGGCGUGCGGGCGAUACGGGCAGACUGGAGUACUGCAGGGGAGACUGGAAUUCCUGGUGUAGCGGUGGAAUGCGCAGAUAUCAGGAGGAACACCCGUGGCGAAGGCGGCUCUCUGGGACGGUACUGACGCUGAGACGCGAAAGCGUGGGGAGCGAACAGG